rnacentral:lncRNA from 1 species
GGGGGGCUGGGGGGCUGGGGAGGGACAAACAUAUACUAAAGCACCGAAGAUACUUCAGAAUUAACAUGAGCUACGGUUUAAUCUGAAAUCACAUAUAAAAAAUAAUGACUGCGCACUUGUAAAAACAGGCUGCCAUUGACUGAAGGUACGGAGCAGUACUUGACUGAAUGCCCAGCGAGCUAGGAAUUGAGUAGUUACAACUUCCAAGUACUCCAUUAUCAGGUUUCCGGCCGACUGGCCAGAUUCGCUAUGAAUUCCAGUGCUCAGAUCCAUAGCUUCUUCCUCCUACUAUGUGCUAUUCGUUUGCUCCAUCAAUCUAAUCUAGCUAAGCUUCUGGGCCAUUGGUUAUAUUUAUGUGACUGUACCAUGGACAGUCCAGAUGCAAGGGGCAGCCGGCCUAACAUUGCUACAGGCUCUCGCAAAGAGUUAUUUGUCCACAGGACGCCUCUGCAUACAUACAUCUUAUCUGUAUUCAUCAUUAUUGCUGGACCAUAUAGCCAGGUAAAAUGCUUUCAACACAGACCCCAAUAAACAAGCGUACAACAUAGAUAUCUGGAGCAGGUAUGCUCGGGAGCCAUAUCACCAAUUCACCAUGCCCUGAGAUAUAGCCGUUUUGCUUAGAUUUUUUUUUUCUUGAACCAUGCAGGAGAGCUGCAUGUAAUUCAUCAAGAAUAAAGAGAUAGGCGGCACAACCUUACAUCGCCAAGGAUGGCAUGACCCAAACAACACGUCAACAUCACAACCCUUUUAUGAUGAAAGGACNN